rnacentral:rRNA from 1 species
CAGUAGCCGCGGUAAUACAGAGGGUGCGAGCGUUAAUCGGAUUUACUGGGCGUAAAGCGUGCGUAGGCGGCUAAUUGAGUCGGAUGUGAAAUCCCCGAGCUUAACUUGGGAAUUGCAUUAGAUACUGGUUAGCUAGAGUGUGGGAGAGGAUGGUAGAAUUCCAGGUGUAGCGGUGAAAUGCGUAGAGAUCUGGAGGAAUACCGAUGGCGAAGGCAGCCAUCUGGCCUAACACUGACGCUGAGGUACGAAAGCAUGGGGAGCAAACAGGAUUAGAUACCCCGGUAGUCCAUGUCUCUUAUAC